UACGUAGGGGGGCAAGCGUUGUCCGGAAUCAUUGGGCGUAAAGAGCGUGUAGGCGGUCCGGUAAGUCGGCUGUGAAAGUCCAGGGCUCAACCCUGGGAUGCGGGUGGAUACUGCCGGGCUCGAGUCCGGAAGAGGCGAGUGGAAUUCCCGGUGUAGCGGUGAAAUGCGCAGAUAUCGGGAGGAACCCCAAUGGCGAAGGCAGCUCGCUGGGACGUGACUGACGCUGAGACGCGAAAGCGUGGGGAGCAAACAGG
rnacentral:rRNA from 1 species